rnacentral:rRNA from 1 species
AUUGAACGCUGGCGGCAGGCUUAACACAUGCAAGUCGAGCGAGCGGCGGACGGGUGAGUAAUGUCUGGGAAACUGCCUGAUGGAGGGGGAUAACUACUGGAAACGGUAGCUAAUACCGCAUACCAUCAGAUGUGCCCAGAUGGGAUUAGCUAGUAGGUGGGGUAAUGGCGCACCUAGGCGACGAUCCCUAGCUGGUCUGAGAGGAUGACCAGCACCACUGGAAGUGAGACAUGGUCCAGACUCCUACGGGAGGCAGCAGUGGGGAAUAUUGCACAAUGGGCGCAAGCCUGAUGCAGCCAUGCCGCGUGUAUGAAGAAGGCCUUCGGGUUGUAAAGGACUUUCAGCGGGGAGGCGUUACUCGCAGAAGAAGCACCGGCUAACUCCGUGCCAGCAGCCGCGGUAAUUC